rnacentral:lncRNA from 1 species
UAUGAGGAUUUGUCAUCGAAGCCUUUCUUUGGUUCUCUGAUUGAGUACAUUACCUCUGGUCCUGUUGUUGCUAUGAUUUGGGAGGGUGAAGGUGUUGUUAAGACUGGCCGCACUAUUAUUGGAGCCACCAACCCUGCGCAGUCUGCUCCUGGAACCAUCCGUGGUGAUUUGGCUAUCGUGACGGGCAGGUUAUUUAUUAAAUUAGCGCUUCUUUCAUUUGUGGUUAUUGAUUAAUUCGAAGCAAGUUAAAUUAUCAAUGAGCUUAGCAUUUGGAUGUUAAAAUAUUUUAUGUCCUGAGUAUUCUCUUUGCAGGAAUAUCAUCCAUGGAAGUGACUCAGUUGAGAGUGCCCAGAAAGAAAUCGCCUUGUGGUUCCCUGAUGGCCCUAUUAACUGGCAGAGCAGCCUUCACCCUUGGAUCUAUGAGUAAACUAAUGUUUGGUUGAGGAGCCUAAUUGUUCCUGCAGUUAGACUUAUCCCUAUCCCUAUCCCUAUUUCCUUAUUUAUGGUUACUCCUUGUUGGUGAACUGUUAUGAAGUAUUGAGUUAAAUUGAGACCAAUCCUGGUUAUGUUGGCUGCUUUCAUUCUUGUGGUUGCCAUAUACAAUAUUUAAGCUUUUUUGUUGACUGUAUUAUGAAUUGAGUUUGUUAAUGGUUAGCACA